UACAGAGGUCUCAAGCGUUGUUCGGAUUCAUUGGGCGUAAAGGGUGCGUAGGCGGCGCGGUAAGUCGGGUGUGAAAUCUCGGAGCUUAACUCCGAAACUGCAUUCGAUACUGCCGUGCUUGAGGACUGGAGAGGAGACUGGAAUUUACGGUGUAGCGGUGAAAUGCGUAGAUAUCGUAAGGAAGACCAGUGGCGAAGGCGGGUCUCUGGCCCGGUACUGACGCUGGAGGUGCGAAAGCGUGGGGAGCAAACAGG
rnacentral:rRNA from 1 species